AGUGAACGCUGGCGGUAGGCCUAACACAUGCAAGUCGAACGGCAGCACAGUAAGAGCUUGCUCUUACGGGUGGCGAGUGGCGGACGGGUGAGGAAUACAUCGGAAUCUACUUUCUCGUGGGGGAUAACGUAGGGAAACGUACGCUAAUACCGCAUACGACCUACGGGUGAAAGCAGGGGAUCUUCGGACCUUGCGCGAUUGAAUGAGCCGAUGUCGGAUUAGCUAGUUGGCGGGGUAAAGGCCCACCAAGGCGACGAUCCGUAGCUGGUCUGAGAGGAUGAUCAGCCACACUGGAACUGAGACACGGUCCAGACUCCUACGGGAGGCAGCGGUGGGGAAUAUUGGACAAUGGGCGCAAGCCUGAUCCAGCCAUACCGCGUGGGUGAAGGAGGCCUUCGGGUUGUAAAUCUCUUUUGUUGGGAAAGAAAAGCAGCAGGUUAAUACCCCGCUGUUCUGACGGUACCCAAAGAAUAAGCACCGGCUAACUUCGUG
rnacentral:rRNA from 1 species